ACUCCAAGGGUCCCAAUGUGGGGCCCAGAGUCAGGGUUGGGGUCAGGGGCUGAGCUGUUCCCACCCCCAUGUCCCCCUGUCCCCGCAGGGCUCCGGACGGCCGUGACCCUGCUGGAGUGCGGGGGGGACCUCCAGCCCCCCGGGGGGUCCCUGCGCCUCCUCUGCCGAGGGGCCGGGUUCAGUUUUGAAUAUUUUGCAAUGUUCUGGAUCCGCCAGAGCCCCGGGCAGGGGCUGGAGUGGCUCGCAGGGAUCGACAUCCUUGGCAGCACCGACUACGCGCCAUCGCUCCAGGGCCGGGUCACGAUCUCCAGGGACAACGGGCAGAGCUCGGUGACACUGACCAUGACCGACCUCCGGGACGAGGAUUCCGGAUCCUAUUUCUGUGCCAAAGCUGCUGAUGCUGUUUCUAUUUUUGGUGCUGCUGGUGUUGGUGGUUGGGUUGGUUUUUAGGGCUCCGGCCCUGCCCCUGUCCCCAGCUGUCCCCAGACCCUUCCCCAAACCUCCCUGCCCCCACCCUGAGCCUUGUCCCCACCCUGCCCGUUGUGGCGGACUCGGGUCCAGCUGCAGCCCCGCGGAGAACAAAGGUUUGGAGAGAAGGAAAUGCCGAGCCAUGGGAACUGAACCAGAACUCUUCACUGCGGCCCUCCAGGCCUGUUUGUGUCCCUGUGACCCCACAGGCCAGUGUCCCCAACCCCUACAACUGGUCAGUUCCCAAGCCCCCUAACCCUCUCAAAGGGGCCGCCCUGGCCUGUUCUGGCAGGAGAGCUGCUGUGGGACCCUUGGCAGACCCCUCAAAUAAACCACCGUGGAACAGCC